rnacentral:rRNA from 1 species
UACGUAGGGUGCAAGCGUUAAUCGGAAUUACUGGGCGUAAAGCGUGCGCAGGCGGUUAUGCAAGACAGAUGUGAAAUCCCCGGGCUUAACCUGGGAACUGCAUUUGUGACUGCAUCGCUGGAGUGCGGCAGAGGGGGAUGGAAUUCCGCGUGUAGCAGUGAAAUGCGUAGAUAUGUGGAGGAACACCGAUGGCGAAGGCAGCCCCCUGGGUCAAAACUGACGCUCAUGCACGAAAGCGUGGGGAGCAAACAGG